rnacentral:rRNA from 1 species
CCUACGGGUGGCGGCAGUGGGGAAUAUUGGACAAUGGGCGAAAGCCUGAUCCAGCCAUGCCGCGUGUGUGAAGAAGGCCUUCGGGUUGUAAAGCACUUUCAGUGGGGAAGAAAGCCUUGGGGCUAAUACCCUCGAGGAAGGACAUCACCCACAGAAGAAGCACCGGCUAACUCCGUGCCAGCAGCCGCGGUAAUACGGAGGGUGCGAGCGUUAAUCGGAAUUACUGGGCGUAAAGCGCGCGUAGGCGGUCUGAUAAGCCGGUUGUGAAAGCCCCGGGCUCAACCUGGGAACGGCAUCCGGAACUGUCAGGCUAGAGUGCAGGAGAGGAAGGUAGAAUUCCCGGUGUAGCGGUGAAAUGCGUAGAGAUCGGGAGGAAUACCAGUGGCGAAGGCGGCCUUCUGGACUGACACUGACGCUGAGGUGCGAAAGCGUGGGUAGCAAACAGGAUUAGAUACCCGAGUAGUC